rnacentral:rRNA from 1 species
GCGAGCCCACCUCCCACCCGUGUUUACUGUACCUUAGUUGCUUCGGCGGGCCCGCCAUUCAUGGCCGCCGGGGGCUCUCAGCCCCGGGCCCGCGCCCGCCGGAGACACCACGAACUCUGUCUGAUCUAGUGAAGUCUGAGUUGAUUGUAUCGCAAUCAGUUAAAACUUUCAACAAUGGAUCUCUUGGUUCCGGCAUCGAUGAAGAACGCAGCGAAAUGCGAUAACUAGUGUGAAUUGCAGAAUUCCGUGAAUCAUCGAGUCUUUGAACGCACAUUGCGCCCCCUGGUAUUCCGGGGGGCAUGCCUGUCCGAGCGUCAUUGCUGCCCAUCAAGCACGGCUUGUGUGUUGGGUCGUCGUCCCCUCUCCGGGGGGGACGGGCCCCAAAGGCAGCGGCGGCACCGCGUCCGAUCCUCGAGCGUAUGGGGCUUUGUCACCCGCUCUGUAGGCCCGGCCGGCGCUUGCCGAACGCAAAUCAAUCUUUUUCCAGGUUGACCUCGGAUCAGGUAGGGAUACCCGCUGAACUUAAGCAUAUCAAUAAGGCGGA